rnacentral:rRNA from 1 species
GGAGCAGCCCAGAGCCUGAAUCAGUGUGUGUGUUAGUGGAAGCGUCUGGAAAGGCGUGCGAUACAGGGUGACAGCCCCGUACACAAAAAUGCACAUACUGUGAGCUCGAUGAGUAGGGCGGGACACGUGGUAUCCUGUCUGAAUAUGGGGGGACCAUCCUCCAAGGCUAAAUACUCCUGACUGACCGAUAGUGAACCAGUACCGUGAGGGAAAGGCGAAAAGAACCCCGGCGAGGGGAGUGAAAAAGAACCUGAAACCGUGUACGUACAAGCAGUGGGAGCACGCUUAGGCGUGUGACUGCGUACCUUUUGUAUAAUGGGUCAGCGACUUAUAUUCUGUAGCAAGGUUAACCGAAUAGGGGAGCCGAAGGGAAACCGAGUCUUAACUGGGCGUUAAGUUGCAGGGUAUAGACCCGAAACCCGGUGAUCUAGCCAUGGGCAGGUUGAAGGUUGGGUAACACUAACUGGAGGACCGAACCGACUAAUGUUGAAAAAUUAGCGGAUGACUUGUGGCUGGGGGUGAAAGGCCAAUCAAACCGGGAGAUAGCUGGUUCUCCCCGAAAGCUAUUUAGGUAGCGCCUCGUGAAUUCAUCUCCGGGGGUAGAGCACUGUUUCGGCAAGGGGGUCAUCCCGACUUACCAACCCGAUGCAAACUGCGAAUACCGGAGAAUGUUAUCACGGGAGACACACGGCGGGUGCUAACGUCCGUCGUGAAGAGGGAAACAACCCAGACCGCCAGCUAAGGUCCCAAAGUCAUGGUUAAGUGGGAAACGAUGUGGGAAGGCCCAGACAGCCAGGAUGUUGGCUUAGAAGCAGCCAUCAUUUAAAGAAAGCGUAAUAGCUCACUGGUCGAGUCGGCCUGCGCGGAAGAUGUAACGGGGCUAAACCAUGCACCGAAGCUGCGGCAGCGACGCUUAUGCGUUGUUGGGUAGGGGAGCGUUCUGUAAGCCUGUGAAGGUGUGCUGUGAGGUAUGCUGGAGGUAUCAGAAGUGCGAAUGCUGACAUAAGUAACGAUAAAGCGGGUGAAAAGCCCGCUCGCCGGAAGACCAAGGGUUCCUGUCCAACGUUAAUCGGGGCAGGGUGAGUCGACCCCUAAGGCGAGGCCGAAAGGCGUAGUCGAUGGGAAACAGGUUAAUAUUCCUGUACUUGGUGUUACUGCGAAGGGGGGACGGAGAAGGCUAUGUUGGCCGGGCGACGGUUGUCCCGGUUUAAGCGUGUAGGCUGGUUUUCCAGGCAAAUCCGGAAAAUCAAGGCCGAGGCGUGAUGACGAGGCACUACGGUGCUGAAGCAACAAAUGCCCUGCUUCCAGGAAAAGCCUCUAAGCAUCAGGUAACAUCAAAUCGUACCCCAAACCGACACAGGUGGUCAGGUAGAGAAUACCAAGGCGCUUGAGAGAACUCGGGUGAAGGAACUAGGCAAAAUGGUGCCGUAACUUCGGGAGAAGGCACGCUGAUACGUAGGUGAAGCGACUUGCUCGUGGAGCUGAAAUCAGUCGAAGAUACCAGCUGGCUGCAACUGUUUAUUAAAAACACAGCACUGUGCAAACACGAAAGUGGACGUAUACGGUGUGACGCCUGCCCGGUGCCGGAAGGUUAAUUGAUGGGGUUAGCGCAAGCGAAGCUCUUGAUCGAAGCCCCGGUAAACGGCGGCCGUAACUAUAACGGUCCUAAGGUAGCGAAAUUCCUUGUCGGGUAAGUUCCGACCUGCACGAAUGGCGUAAUGAUGGCCAGGCUGUCUCCACCCGAGACUCAGUGAAAUUGAACUCGCUGUGAAGAUGCAGUGUACCCGCGGCAAGACGGAAAGACCCCGUGAACCUUUACUAUAGCUUGACACUGAACAUUGAGCCUUGAUGUGUAGGAUAGGUGGGAGGCUUUGAAGUGUGGACGCCAGUCUGCAUGGAGCCGACCUUGAAAUACCACCCUUUAAUGUUUGAUGUUCUAACGUGGACCCGUGAUCCGGGUUGCGGACAGUGUCUGGUGGGUAGUUUGACUGGGGCGGUCUCCUCCUAAAGAGUAACGGAGGAGCACGAAGGUUGGCUAAUCCUGGUCGGACAUCAGGAGGUUAGUGCAAUGGCAUAAGCCAGCUUGACUGCGAGCGUGACGGCGCGAGCAGGUGCGAAAGCAGGUCAUAGUGAUCCGGUGGUUCUGAAUGGAAGGGCCAUCGCUCAACGGAUAAAAGGUACUCCGGGGAUAACAGGCUGAUACCGCCCAAGAGUUCAUAUCGACGGCGGUGUUUGGCACCUCGAUGUCGGCUCAUCACAUCCUGGGGCUGAAGUAGGUCCCAAGGGUAUGGCUGUUCGCCAUUUAAAGUGGUACGCGAGCUGGGUUUAGAACGUCGUGAGACAGUUCGGUCCCUAUCUGCCGUGGGCGCUGGAGAACUGAGGGGGGCUGCUCCUAGUACGAGAGGACCGGAGUGGACGCAUCACUGGUGUUCGGGUUGUCAUGCCAAUGGCACUGCCCGGUAGCUAAAUGCGGAAGAGAUAAGUGCUGAAAGCAUCUAAGCACGAAACUUGCCCCGAGAUGAGUUCUCCCUGACCCUUUAAGGGUCCUGAAGGAACGUUGAAGACGACGACGUUGAUAGGCCGGGUGUGUAAGCGCAGCGAUGCGUUGAGCUAACCGGUAC